rnacentral:sRNA from 1 species
UCUCAUAUCUCUCUAUACGGGAGAGAAGCUUCGACUAAGGUUCGAUUCGAGCGUCAGCGAGAAAGCGUUGCCGCAGGCAACGACCCGAA